rnacentral:lncRNA from 1 species
CUCUUCCAAAUGAACCAGAGGGCUUUAAGGAAAUUUACUGAAUCCUUGAAAAACUAAUCAUCCCUUUACAGCCUCGGGUGAGUUACUGCAAAAUUUAAUUUCUGCUAAGCUAUCUGAGAUUGCAAACAGCAAAAUGAAUGCAUGGUAUUUACCUGUCUGCUGAGUUUCUGUUUUUCUCUCUGACCCACACUUCAGAGUGUGUCAUGCUCUUGCAAAGCACUUUGGGAUGCCCAGCAUCUUACAGUGACCCUAGGUAUCUGUGACAUUGAUUUUUGUCCCUCCCAGCCCAUGGGUAGAGAGAGUAAUGGUUCACCCUUUAUAAGCCCAUUCAUCUUGUUACAAAGUUCAUUCAAUAAGUUUUUUUUUUUUCUUUUCUUAAUCAUUUGAAAAUUAACUUGAC